AAUUAAAAAUACAUUUAAGGAAAUGCAGGAAGCUCUAUGUCCAUGGAUAAUGAACUAAAGGCUCCAUUUCUAGGCUGCUGAAGUUGAUGAGGCUGAAGGCUCUGGACUUAUGAGUAAUUUGAUCUAAUUGAUAAUCAUGGUGUGUGCAUAUGAGUGUUAGGUGAUAUUAAAUUAUUACCAACUGAUGUACAAGAAUCAGUAGCAAGAGCUGUGACAAUGACUAAAAACAAUAACAAGUAAGUACAUGUACAUGUACU